rnacentral:rRNA from 1 species
UACAGAGGGUGCGAGCGUUGUUCGGAAUUACUGGGCGUAAAGCGCGCGCAGGCGGCCCUUUAAGUCCACUGGUCAAAAGCCGGGGCUCAACCCCGAGCUCGCCAGGGAUACUGGAGGGCUGGAGACACGUAGAGGCAAGCGGAAUUCCGGGCGUAGCGGUGGAAUGCGUAGAGAUCCGGAAGAACACCGGAGGCGAAGGCGGCUUGCUGGGCGUGAUCUGACGCUGAGGCGCGAAAGCGUGGGGAGCGAACAGG